AUACGGAGGAUCCGAGCGUUAUCCGGAUUUAUUGGGUUUAAAGGGUGCGCAGGCGGCCAUUUAAGUCAGCGGUUAAAUCGUGGGGCUCAACCCCAUUCUGCCGUUGAUACUGGGUGGCUUGAUUGCGGUCGAGGUUGGCGGAAUUCGUUGUGUAGCGGUGAAAUGCAUAGAAAUGACGAAGAACACCGAUUGCGUAGGCAGCUGACCAGAUCGCAAAUGACGCUCAUGCACGAAAGUGCGGGGAUCGAACAGGAUUAGAUACCCUGGUAGUCCGCACAGUAAACGAUGAAUACUUGUUUUCGGCGAUAUAAUGUCGGAGGCAAAGCGAAAGCGAUAAGUAUUCCACCUGGGGAGUACGCCGGCAACGGUGAAACUUAAAGGAAUUGACGGGG
rnacentral:rRNA from 1 species